UACGAAGGGGCUAGCGUUGCUCGGAAUCACUGGGCGUAAAGCGCACGUAGGCGGAUUGCUAAGUCAGGGUGAAAUCCUGGAGCUCAACUCCAGAACUGCCUUUGAUACUGGCAACCUUGAGUCCGGAGAGGUGAGUGGAACUGCGAGUGUAGAGGUGAAAUUCGUAGAUAUUCGCAAGAACACCAGUGGCGAAGGCGGCUCACUGGCCCGGUACUGACGCGUGAGG
rnacentral:rRNA from 1 species